UUCAUCAGUAAUUUCCAGUAAUUUAUGUGCUGUCACCUUAUCUGUGGCUAUCUGUCCAUCAACUAUCCGAACGAGCCUGUCGCAGUGCUCUGCAACUGCUGGAUCAUGCGUGAUGACAAUUAGGGUGGUCCCCAAAUUUCUAUUCAAGUCAUGCAUUAAAUCCAAAAUUUCAUCACCCGUUUUGGUGUCAACAUCACCCGUAGGCUCGUCUGCCAGCACGAUAGAUGGAUCGUUCGCAAUCGCACGCGCUAUGGAAACACGUUGACGUUGUCCACCACUGAGGUCAUCGGGUCU
rnacentral:rRNA from 1 species